rnacentral:rRNA from 1 species
ACUCAAAUGAAUUGACGGGGACCCACACAAGCGGUGGAGCAUGGGGUUUAAUUCGAUGAUAAGCGAAGCACCUCACCCAGACUUGACAUGGUAGGAAUCGUUUAGAAAUAGACGAGUGCCGCAAGGAGCCUACACACAGGCGCUGCACGGUCGUCGUCAGCUCGUGCCUUGAGGUGUACUGUUCAGUCAGCAAACGAGCGCAACCCUCAUCUCAUGUUGUAUUCUCAUGAGAGACUGCCGCCUCCAAGGCGGAGGAAGGUGAGGAUGACGUCAGAUCAGCGUGGCCUUUAUGUCUGGGGCAACACCCGUGCUACAAUGGCCGGUACAAACCGUUGCGAACCCGCGAGGGGAAGCCAAUCGGAAAAAACCGGCCUCAGUUCGGAUUGAAGUCUGCAACUCGACUUCAUGAAGUUGGAAUCGCUAGUAACCGUGAAUCAGCUACGUCACGGUGAAUAUGUUCCUGGGUCUUGUACACACCGCCCGU